rnacentral:lncRNA from 1 species
AACAACUCAUCACCUUCCUUCCACACCAUAUGCAAACCCAUGAACAACGCAACUGGAUCAUCUUGUUAUAAAAAAGAAAGCCGUAGAAUGGCAGGGAUUCAAAGCCACACACGGCCAGUCCCGAGACAUGAAAUAAAGCCAUGUAAGACCAAAACAUCAAAAAUAAUUAAAAAAAAAUCUCACGCAAGAGAUCUAAACCACAGUCAUCUUCAGAACUCACGCUCCCUCUUCACCCAAUGUUUCGUCCAAGCCUGGAGCCGUGUCACCCCCG